rnacentral:tRNA from 1 species
AUUUAAAUAAUUUAAUUUUAAAAAUAUUGAUUUGUGAAAUCAAAAAUAUACCCAAAAUAUUUUAAAUC